rnacentral:rRNA from 1 species
GAUGAACGCUGGCGGCGUGCCUAAUACAUGCCAGUAGAACGCUGAAGGAGGAGCUUGCUCUUCUGGAUGAGUUGCGAACGGGUGAGUAACGCGUAGGUAACCUGCCUGGUAGCGGGGGAUAACUAUUGGAAACGAUAGCUAAUACCGCAUGACAACAGUUAUUGCAUGAUAACUGUUUAAAAGGGGCAACUGCUCCACUACCAGAUGGACCUGCGUUGUAUUAGCUAGUUGGUGAGGUAACGGCUCACCAAGGCGACGAUACAUAGCCGACCUGAGAGGGUGAUCGGCCACACUGGGACUGAGACACGGCCCAGACUCCUACGGGAGGCAGCAGUAGGGAAUCUUCGGCAAUGGACGGAAGUCUGACCGAGCAACGCCGCGGGAGUGAAGAAGGUUUUCGGAUCGUAAAGCUCUGUUGUAAGAGAAGAACGAGUGUGAGAGUGGAAAGUUCACACUGUGACGGUAUCUUACCAGAAAGGGACGGCUAACUACGUG